rnacentral:lncRNA from 1 species
UGCAGGUCAUGUACAAGGUGUGGGUGGUGUGGAGUAACUCCAUGAUUGGCGGGGAAUGGAAAUCAUGCCAGGCUAUUCAUAUUGUUUGGUGGGGCGGAUCGAGCAAGGAAGGGUAAGGAUUUGAUGUAAUGAUGAUGGAUACAGAUGAGGUAGGAGCGUAGCUAUGGGGUGGUUCAUGUCGAGGAUGAGUUGGAUUGCCUUCUCUGCAGGCUGGAUCUGACGCCUGUUCGCCGCCAUCAAUCCCACCCCAGCGGUUGAUGGAAACUGUCCUCCACCGACUGUCUCCUCCUUCCUGCUUCUCUCCCAGGAACUUCUUCCUUCAGUUUGUUGUUUGUUGACCUCGCUAGACAGAGUUUUGAAUGUAUGUACAAGUGAUUAGAGUGCAGAUCCACGUUGGCAUGUGCAACUGUUUGGCGCAGCACUGUCCAUUCGUCCGAUACUCCGAUUUGGAUGCCAUGUACACCAACACGCAUGGAAGAAUGGAUGUAUUUGUUCAUUGUCGUACAAGAGAGAGAAUAAGCUGAACAGUUUCCCUUUUAUGUAUGGAGAGGAAGAAGUAGAAGGUCAUGACUCUGGAGUCAGGACUAGAGCCUAUACAAGAUUGUAUACAGGGCCUUUGUCUCUGAUUCAUGUGAUUUUUUAUCUACAGAUUCUGUCAAAUUAGUUCACACAUCUAUUUAGACACAUUAUAUACUUCAUAUGUAAUUAUGAGG